rnacentral:rRNA from 1 species
UGGGGGAUAUUGCACAAUGGGGGGAACCCUGAUGCAGCGACGCCGCGUGAGCGAGGGAGUACUUCGGUAUGUAAAGCUCUAUCAGCAGGGAAGAUAUUGACGGUACCUGACCAAGAAGCCCCGGCUAACUACGUGCCAGCAGCCGCGGUAAUACGUAGGGGGCGAGCGUUAUCCGGAUUCACUGGGUGUAAAGGGAGCGCAGGCGGCGCGGCAAGUCCGAUGUGAAAGCCCGGGGCCCAACCCCGGGACUGCAUUGGAGACUGCCGUGCUGGAGUGCCGGAGGGGUAGGCGGAAUUCCUAGUGUAGCGGUGAAAUGCGUAGAUAUUAGGAGGAACACCAGUGGCGAAGGCGGCCUACUGGACGGUGACUGACGCUGAGGCUCGAAAGCGUGGGGAGCAAACAGG